GGGUGAAAGGCUAAUCAAACUGGGAGAUAGCUCGUACUCCCCGAAAUGCUUUUAGGAGCAGCGUUGGUCUUAGUCAUAUAGAGGUAAAGCUACCGAUUGGGCUAGGGGGCUUCAUCGCCUACCAAACCCUGACGAACUCUGAAUGCUAUAUGAUAUGUCCAGCAGUGAGGCAGCCGAUGAUAAGGUCUGUUGCCGAGAGGGAAACAACCCAGACCAUCAUCUAAGGUCCCAAAGUCUAUGUUAAGUCACACAAACGAUGUCCGAUUGCUAUAACAGCCAGGAUGUUUGCUUGGAAGCAGCAAUCAUUUAAAGAGUGCGUAACAGCUCACUGGUCGAGUGAUCGGGCGCGGAAGAAUAACCGGGUGUCAAACAUAGCACCGAAGAUAUGGAUUGCAGCAAUGCACUGGUAGGGGAG
rnacentral:rRNA from 1 species